CUUACAUCUGCACGCCUAAAGAAGGGAGAAGUGCUAUAUGUAGAGACUCAUUCUCGCAGGUAUGAACUUUGCUUUAAUGGAGAAAAGUAGUAAAAGCUGCAACAGCAUCUCAUGCACAUGGAUCUGAAACUGGAAAACCUCAAACUAACAAUGCGAUUCCGUUAAUGGUGAACGGAGUGGUGUGGAUGGUGAAAGCACUGUGGUAGACAUAUUCCGAUGGUCUCGCUGUAGGCGUCCUCUUCCUCAGAAAAGUAUGCAGAGUAUUGGAAUUCCGUUGCCUCUUGAACAUGUAGAGGUUUUGGAGGAUAAUCUGGAGUGGGAUGAGAUAGCUUGGUCGCAAACUGGUGCCUGGAUUGGUGGCAAAGAAUACAAUCUUGCUCGUG